GACGAACCGUGCGAACGUUGUUCGGAAUCACUGGGCUUAAAGGGCGCGUAGGCGGGCUUGCCAAGUCAGGGGUGGAAAUAACUUCAGCUUAAUUGGAGAAGUGCCCUUGAUACUGGCGGGCUCGAGGGAGGUAGGGGCAUGUGGAACUUCUGGUGGAGCGGUGAAAUGCGUUGAUAUCAGAAGGAACGCCGGUGGCGAAAGCGACGUGCUGGACCUCUUCUGACGCUGAGGCGCGAAAGCUAGGGGAGCAAACGGG
rnacentral:rRNA from 1 species